UACGUAGGGCGCAAGCGUUGUCCGGAAUUAUUGGGCGUAAAGAGCUCGUAGGCGGCUUGUUGCGUCGGCUGUGAAAUCCCGAGGCUCAACCUCGGGUCUGCAGUCGAUACGAGCAUACUAGAGUGUUGCAGGGGAGACUGGAAUUCCUGGUGUAGCGGUGAAAUGCGCAGAUAUCAGGAGGAACACCGGUGGCGAAGGCGGGUCUCUGGGCAACAACUGACGCUGAGGAGCGAAAGCGUGGGGAGCGAACAGG
rnacentral:rRNA from 1 species